rnacentral:rRNA from 1 species
CAUUAAAAAAAGAGGAGAUAGCACACAGUGCAAGAGAAGACCCUAUUAAUUAUAGUAUUAAAUAAUACAACAACUUUUAGCAACGGAUCUCUAGGUUCUCGCAACGAUGAAGAACGCAGCGAAUUGCGAAAAGUAAUGUGAAUUGCAUAAUUCCGUGAAUCAUCAAAUCUUUGAACGCACCUUGCGCUAGCUGGAAUUCCGGCUAGCAUACCUGUUUGAGUAUCAUAAACUAGUCACCCAGAGUGGAUAUGGGCAAAGUAUUAUAUACCUGCCUUAAAAGUAUAGGAAACACAAUAGAGCUAAAUUGACUAUUGCGCAGACACCAUACAACAAUGAUCUCAAAUCAGGUGGGAUUACCC